UGAGUGACCUACUUGAUUUUGCCAACCUUCUCUCUUUUUAAACAGGGUCAGUCCAUUGCGCCGAUACCGAGUUCCAGUGUUCGUCCGGCCCGCGCUGCAUACCGCUGCGAUGGCAGUGCGACGGAGAAAACGAUUGCGAGGAUCGCAGCGACGAGGAUCCGACCAAAUGCGAAAUCAAAAAAUGUACCGAGGAGCAGUUUGCCUGCAAGAACCGGGUCGGUGAAUGUAUCCCGCUGUCGUGGAUCUGUGACAAAAAUGCCGAU